ensembl:lncRNA
UAAUCACCUGCAGCUCUAGCGUUUGUAACCCGACUACUCCCUUAAACAAUACUCCGUUUCAGGUCCUGAUCGCCGCCUCUCUCUCUCUCUCUCUCUCUCUCUUUCUCUUUCUGGCUGCUUUUAGAUGGACCAAAUCAGCCGGUUCUGGAGGUCAAUCCUACAAAAGCAGCCUUUGUAUCCGGAGAGACCGUCACGCUGUCCUGCCGAGCUCAAGGAGAACCGGUCCCCUCGGCCUCCUGGUUCUUUAAGGGCCAGCCGCUCCCGACCUCCCCCACUGGAACGCUCAACCUCACGGACGUACAAACCAGCCAGAGCGGGGUUUACACCUGCAUCGUGAUUAACAUGAAGACAAAAGCUCAGCAAGAGAAGAGCGUCACCAUAAACGUCAGAGGUCUGAGUGGGUCAGCUCUGGUUGGUAUAUCUGCUGGAAUCCCCUGUGGUAUUCUCCUGGUGGUGCUUCUGAUUGGUCUUAUCAUUGUGUGUUAUUUCUGCUAUAAAAGAAAAGAUCGAAAUCCCAGAUAUCCAAUAUCACGAGCAGUGGAGAAAGCUGUAAUCAGUCAACCUGAGCUGACCAAACCUCACAAUCUGCUGAGUAAUGGCCUCAAAUUGCCUCCAGACUACAGCCUCUACCGUCAGCAGGUGCAGUAUUUCACCUCCACACUGGUUUUACUCAAACACGGGACUAUACGUGUGUUUUAGAGUGAGAAACAACUGGAAAUGUGGAAAUAUCUGUUUUUUUUGUUUGUUUUUAGACGUUUGCAGAGCGGGACGUCCCACUGCCUUUCCAGCCCGCCCCUGUGAGAACAGCCACCACCGUCUAACACCAUGAGGAACACUGUUCCCUGCACUGAAGAUGCUCUAAAAAUGAGGGAAAAAACAGCUUUCAGCUUUGAGAAGAUCUACCUCACUUCCUUCAUUUGGCUGAAACAUUCAUCAGCCAAAAAUCAGAACAAUAUGUUGUGAUGAAUCUUUUUUUUUUCUCACUAUAUGAAGCACUGAGUUAUAAGGCGCACUAUCAAUGAACGUCUAUUUUCUGGUCUAUAUAUAUACAUAUAUAUAUAAGGCGCACCGGAUUAUGUAUAAGGCACAUUAUGUGACACUAGUAAGAACAGGGGUGUCGCUGUUGGGUGGCGAGACCUAUAAAGCUAAGCUCAGUAAACAAAACUGUAAUAUAUAUAAAACAUUUUCUUUUGAAGUUAAACGAAUCUGGAUUUUAAUCUACACAGAUUUCUCUCCUGAAAAACAAGCUAAGAUUCCCAAGUUUUCCCAGCACCAAGGCUGAAGCAUUAGCGUUAGAUGUUAACCAUUUGCAGGAAAUGCUAAUGCUGCUCCAGCACUGCUAGCCUGGGUCAGCAGGAGGCUACAGUCCGAUAUCCUCACCUCUGAACGGCGAAAGGGCUUAACGGCACUUAGCAUGGUUAGCGGCUCUAAUGCUAAUGCUGCUUCAGCAGUGCUAUCCAGGGUUAGCAGCAGGCUACAGGCUGAUAAUACUCACCUCUGAAUGGGGAAAUAGCUAGCCCUCAGUGUGGUUAGCAGCUAAUGCUAAUACUGCUGGAGAACUAAACUGAAACUCCUGUAUAACUCUGUACUUCAGCAGAGUGACUUUACUGCUCCUUAAUACCUGACUGGUAGAAUUCAUACAUAAGGAGCACCAGAUUAUAAGGUGCAAUGAUGAUUUUUGGGAAAAUUAAAGGAUUUUAAGUGCGAAAAAUAUGUGUAACUCUGGUAAGAGCUCUUACAGUGGUGCUUGAAAGCUUUAUGACCUAAAACAUCAUCAGAUUUAAGUCCUAAAAGUAGAUAAAAAAGAACACAGUUAAACAAAUAAGACAAAACAUAUUAUACUUAUUUAUUUAUUUAUUUAUUUAUAGAGGGAAAUGAUCAAAUAUUAAAUUUUUGUAAGCGAUAAAAGUAGUACUUCAGGUUUAGCAGUUAGUUGGAAGGUCCAAUCCACAGUUAGACAGAUUACAGUGUACAAAUCAACAAAAUCCAAGACCAGAGAUCACUCCAUGAACAAGGCGUGGAAUAGUCGGCGAGGUUUCGAAGGACCCCAGGGUAACUUCUAAGCAAGUUCACAAUCAGGAGAAUUUGAUGAAUAUAAAAAGUGCUGUUUGGAAAAAGGAAAAUGCUGUAUGUAUCUUUGAAACAUGGUGGUGGUAGUAUCAUGGUUUGGGCCUGUUUUGCUUUAUCUAGGCUUGCCAUCAUUGAUGGAACCAUGAAUUUGGAAUUUUAAGGAAAAAUAUAAGCAUUUCUGUCCAUGAACUGAAUCUUAGAAGAAAGGUGGGUCAUGCAGCAGGACAAUGACCCAAAGCACACAAGUCGUUCUACAGAAAAGUGGUUAAAGAAGAAUGAAGAAUUUAAUGUUUUAGAAUGGCCGAGUCACUGUCCUGAUCUUAAUCCAUUUAGAUUAGUUAAACUGGGUUCUCCUUUUUUUGUUUUACUUGUAGGACUAAAAAUCUGCUAACAACAAACUAUCGAGCACCGCUGUACCUGUGAAUCAAGUUACACAGCUAGAAAAAUGAAGAGUGUGGAGCUUUCGUCUGUGGAAGUAAAAGUGGUCUAAAUCUGAUUUAAUUGGAAACACUUUUAAUAUAAUUACAUUUAAUAUAAUUUUAAUAAAAUUAUAAACAUCGUCCA